rnacentral:rRNA from 1 species
CCUACGGGAGGCAGCAGUGGGGAAUUUUGGACAAUGGGCGAAAGCCUGAUCCAGCAAUGCCGCGUGAGUGAAGAAGGCCUUCGGGUUGUAAAGCUCUUUUGUCAGGGAAGAAACGGUGAGAGCUAAUAUCUCUUGCUAAUGACGGUACCUGAAGAAUAAGCACCGGCUAACUACGUGCCAGCAGCCGCGGUAAUACGUAGGGUGCAAGCGUUAAUCGGAAUUACUGGGCGUAAAGCGUGCGCAGGCGGUUUUGUAAGUCUGAUGUGAAAUCCCCGGGCUCAACCUGGGAAUUGCAUUGGAGACUGCAAGGCUAGAAUCUGGCAGAGGGGGGUAGAAUUCCACGUGUAGCAGUGAAAUGCGUAGAUAUGUGGAGGAACACCGAUGGCGAAGGCAGCCCCCUGGGUCAGGAUUGACGCUCAUGCACGAAAGCGUGGGGAGCAAACAGGAUUAGAUACCCUGGUAGUCCACGCCCUAAACGAUGUCUACUAGUUGUCGGGUCUUAAUUGACUUGGUAACGCAGCUAACGCGUGAAGUAGACCGCCUGGGGAGUACGGUCGCGAAGAUUAAAACUCAAAUGAAUUGACGG